rnacentral:misc_RNA from 1 species
AAGUCGUAACAAGGUUUCCGUAGGUGAACCUGCGGAAGGAUCAUUCUUGAUAUUUUAGCAUAUGCUAUUAAUCAAUUUGUGAACUGUCACUUCCCUUUUGUGGAUCGAAAUGUCUGCAUUAGGACCACAUGGCGAUCGAGAGGUCGUCGUAUAACUAUAACUAAAACUUUGACAACUUUUAGCAAUGGAUCUCUAGGCUCUC